UACAGAGGUCCCAAGCGUUGUUCGGAUUCACUGGGCGUAAAGGGUGCGCAGGUGGGUUGGCAAGUUUGACGUGAAAGCCCCGGGCUUAACCCGGGAAUGGCGUUGAAAACUGCUGAUCUGGAGGAUCGGAGGGGGGACUGGAAUUCUUGGUGUAGCAGUGAAAUGCGUAGAUAUCAAGAGGAACACCAGUGGCGAAGGCGGCCCCCUGGUUGGAUACUGACGCUGAGACGCGAAAGCGUGGGGAGCAAACAGG
rnacentral:rRNA from 1 species